UACGUAGGGCGCAAGCGUUGUCCGGAAUUAUUGGGCGUAAAGAGCUCGUAGGCGGUUUGUCGCGUCUGCCGUGAAAUCCCGAGGCUUAACCUCGGGCCUGCGGUGGAUACGGGCAGACUAGAGGUAGGUAGGGGAGAAUGGAAUUCCCGGUGUAGCGGUGAAAUGCGCAGAUAUCGGGAGGAACACCGGUGGCGAAGGCGGUUCUCUGGGCCUUACCUGACGCUGAGGAGCGAAAGCGUGGGGAGCGAACAGG
rnacentral:rRNA from 1 species